UCUCCCCGUCCUACCCGUGAGUUCUCAUGC
rnacentral:piRNA from 1 species